CUUGUUUGGGUUCCCAGUUUAUCAAUGGGCAAAAGCUGUUCUCUUGUUCAUAAAAUAGUAACAAUUCACCAUUAAAGUAAUGGUUAAUUUCGUUAGAAGCACAAUUUUAACUCCAACCUAAAUUACUUACAACACAGUUGACUUCUCCCCAUUGAUAAACUGGGAACCCAAACAAGAGUCCAUUCCAAGUUUCAGUUCAUCCCAAGUAAAGAAAAUUUGGCAAGCUAUUGAAUUGAAGCAUCUGUCAAAAACCUGGGAUUUCACCAGGCAUGGGAGCCAAUUCGUUCUUACUGAACCUUUCCUCAUCAUAGAAGGUUGCACGAACCACAUUACCUCCAAAGUACCGACCAUCGAGAUCGAUCAAUGCUUUUGUUGUUUCUUCUGAUCUCUCAAACUGUACAAAUAUUCUGACUGCCUCAUCACGGGGGAAGUUUGGCUCUGUUAUCUCAAAUAUGAGAACCCGAGUAACCGUCCCAUACUUCGAGCACUCGGAUCCAACCUCCUCUUCUAGCUCAUCAUCUACCUCACCAGGACCCACCAUGUUCCUGAGCAUCAAAACCCGAGUAGGUGGUCCAUUGAAAUUCACACUCUUCACCUUCUUCUCUGGUUUUGUCUCACUAGCAUUCACAAUCACUCCAGCUCUACGAUCAGUCUUCUUUGCCAUCAAUGGUGUUGUGAUCCCCUGCUCCUGUUUCCCAAGACCUUGUCCCUCCUUCCAACCCAUCUUUGCCAUCAUCCUUUGCGCAGCAGUCAUUUGUCCACCUGCACCAACCCCCAAUCCACCAGUUUCCGACUUCCCAAUAGUAAAUCUCUCACCGUUACUUGGGGGUGAUGGCGACCUUGGGACAGCACCACUCAUCGCUGCGCGCCUCCUCCAAGCUUCUUCCCCUGAAAUAUUUCUGUCCCUCUCUCUUU
rnacentral:misc_RNA from 1 species